UACGAAGGGGGCUAGCGUUGCUCGGAAUCACUGGGCGUAAAGCGCACGUAGGCGGCUUCAUAAGUCAGGGGUGAAAUCCUGGGGCUCAACCCCAGAACUGCCCUUGAUACUGAGGAGCUUGAGUCCGGGAGAGGUGAGUGGAACGCCGAGUGUGGAGGUGAAAUUCGUAGAUAUUCGGAAGAACACCUGUGGCGAAGGCGGCUCACUGGCACGGUACUGACGCUGAGGUGCGAAAGCGUGGGUAGCAAACAGG
rnacentral:rRNA from 1 species